CUGUGUGUUGCUACUGGCCUGACUAGCCAGACCCACAUCCAGAUGUUGGGUCCGGGAACUCACCAUAAGCAGGGCUCAAUCCGAUGGGCGGGAUACACGGUUGUCUUUCAAAUUUCCUCUGCACGCAAUAGGCUAGCGCUACAACCGACCAGAGCAACGCUGGUUGAUAGAUUCAACUUUUGCCGUGUCCGGUGGGCAAAACUCCGAACACAUCUUCCUUUUUUUAGUGUUUUCAGUGUUCUUUCUUCAUUUCUCAAAGAAAACCUUAAAUACAAGUUAACCAGAGUCGUGGCCAAAGCCAAUUCAAAAGACCGCUGUUCACAAGCAGCCGUAGCAGCCAUCUUCUUUGUUUUACA